rnacentral:rRNA from 1 species
GACGAAGGAUGCAAGCGUUAUCCGGAUUCAUUGGGUUUAAAGGGUGCGUAGGCGGACUUGUAAGUCAGUGGUGAAAUCUCUUUGCUUAACAAAGAAACUGCCAUUGAUACUGCAGGCCUAGAGUAUAGAUGACGUUGGCGGAAUAUGACAUGUAGUGGUGAAAUACUUAGAUAUGUCAUAGAACACCGAUUGCGAAGGCAGCUAACGAAACUAUAACUGACGCUGAGGCACGAAAGUGCGGGGAUCAAACAGG